rnacentral:piRNA from 1 species
AGGGCUACCUUGUGGGAAGAACAU